rnacentral:rRNA from 1 species
GAUGAACGCUGGCGGCGUGCCUAAUACAUGCAAGUCGAGCGAACAGACGAGAGUGCUUGCACUCUCUGACGUUAGCGGCGGACGGGUGAGUAACACGUGGGUAACCUACCUAUAAGACUGGGAUAUCUUCGGGAAACCGGAGCUAAUACCGGAUAAUAUUUAGCUUCGCAUGAAGCAAUAGUGAAAGACGGUUCUGCUGUCACUUAUAGAUGGACCCGCGGUGUAUUAGCUAGUUGGUGAGGUAACGGCUCACCAAGGCAACGAUACAUAGCCGACCUGAGAGGGUGAUCGGCCACACUGGGACUGAGACACGGCCCAGACUCCUACGGGAGGCAGCAGUAGGGAAUCUUCCGCAAUGGACGAAAGUCUGACGGAGCAAUGCCGCGUGAGUGAAGAAGGUUUUCGGAUCGUAAAACUCUGUUGUAAGGGAAGAACAAGUACGUUAGUAACUGAACGUACCUUGACGGUACCUUACCAGAAAGCCACGGCUAACUACGUG